CCCAGGACCCACAAGUGGCAACCACGUUUAUUGGGCCUAAAGCGUCCGUAGCCGGUUUGGAAAAUCUUCUGUGAAAUUGACAGGCUUAACCUGUUGCAGUGCAGAAGACACUACCUGACUAGAGAUUGGGAGGCGUGAGGAGUAUUUUUGGGGGAGCGGUAAAAUGUUAUAAUCCCAAAAGGACUACCUGUGGCGAAGGCGCCUCACGAGAACAAAUCUGACGGUGAGGGACGAAAGCUAGGGGAGCAAAACGG
rnacentral:rRNA from 1 species